UGGGGAAUAUUGGACAAUGGGCGAAAGCCUGAUGGAGCGACGUCGCGUGAUGGACGAAGUGCUUCGGCACGUAAACAUCUUUUAUGUGGGAUGAAAUUAUUGACAGUACCACAUGAAUAAGGGGCUCCUAACUCUGUGCCAGCAGGAGCGGUAAUACAGAGGCCCCAAGCGUUAUCCGGAAUCACUGGGCGUAAAGGGUGUCGAGGCGGUUGUAUUAGUCGUUCGUAAAAUCUACGAGCUUAACUUGUAGGCGGCGAACGAAACGGUACGACUUGAGGUUUGGAGAGGUGCGUGGAACUCACGGUGUAGGGGUGAAAUCCGUUGAUAUCGUGGGGAACACCAAAGGCGAAGGCAGCGCACUGGCCAAAAUCUGACGCUCACACACGAAAGCUAGGGUAGCGAAGAGGAUUAGAUACCCCCGUAGUCCCUGAGCGGGCUGGCAAGGCGCAU
rnacentral:rRNA from 1 species